UUGUGAGUGCGCGCAGACAGAGCCCCCUCCCCCGGCCGGAGAUGCAGUAAUAACGUUGUCGUGCGGAGUAUCUUCGUUGUACAGUUUCUGUCUCAAGUGUUUUUCACUAGUUCAGUCUUGAGUUACAAUACGCGGGUCGACGAGGGUUUGCACUGGACUCGGGUUUGAAUCACGGAAGAUGAUGAAAGUGGUUUUGUUGUUGUUGCCGAGUGUCUUUGUUUGUAUGGGCCUCUCACGUAAACAUUAUUAUGAGGAGUAUGGGAACUCACUGUACGUACGGCUUCCUAGAAAACCCAACUCCAUCGAGUUCAACCCCAAGUACAGCUCAGAUGUGACGGUCGUGUGGAAACAGGGGUGACCCUGUUAUCUCAGUGGACGGAAAGCGUACAAUGACGGGUAUCUACUAUGCAAUGGUUAAUUUAACUCAGAGAGACGUUGGUCGCUACGUAUUAAGAGACAAAGAGCAGAAAGAAGAGUCCGCCUUCAUAGUUGAGGUAAAAGCAAAAACAAACGCCUUUCACAGGAUGCCUCGUGAACACCUCAGGUUCACUUCUGAUCUGCAACCAAACUCCUGCAACAUUAAAUUCUUCCCAGAAAGCGGCCGUGAACCGAGAGAGAGGACGAUUAACAUCGUUCGUCAAGGCAGGCUGCAGGAGGGUUUGGAUAAAUUUGCUUGCGUAGGAUUUGAUCUGAUCAAACCAUGUGGGAUUUCAAAUGAUGACCUCCAGAUGUCAUGCAAAGGACGCUAUGAGAUAAAAGAUCAGAAUGGCGACACAGCCUUAGAGGUGUCACUGGAAAUGGAGCCAAAAACAAAGAUCUUUGACAGGAAGCCUGGUGAACAGCUCAGCUUCACUUUUGAUCUGGAACCAAGCUCCUGCAACAUUUACUUCUUCCCAGAAGGCGACAGUGGCCCAGGAAAGAGCAUAGUGGGUCAAGGCCGGCUGCAGCUUCAUUCGGAUGAAUUUGAUUGCGUAGGAUUCGAUCUGAUCAAACCAUGUGGGAUUUCAAAUGAUGACCUCCAGAUGUCAUGCCAGGGACGCUAUCAGAUCAAAGAUCAGAAUGGCGACACAGCCGUAGAGGUGACACUGGAAAUGGAGCCACUAUCCUAUGCGACAUCUCCGAUUGGUAUUAGUGCUGGGGUUUUCCUUUCCUCACUGUUCUGCUGUUGCGUGAGGCGCUGCUGUAGGAAGAGCGCCUCCAAAGAGGACAAAUCUGAGAGUGAAGCUCCUGAGCCUGAUGUGCAAUACCAAGUGUAUGAUCUGGAGCCUGUUAGACUGAGGCCAGACCAUCUCAGUGAGCCCUCUGGGACACACUACCCUGCUCAGCCUCCUUAUACUCCGACUGACCCGCUGAUACACAAUCAUCCUACUGUGGAUGUGCCGCCAGCGUAUUCUGAGGUUUCAGCUCCACCCGUCCCCGUCCACUCUGACUCUGAGCCACGGUAUGAACUGAAGGGGAUGACCUUUCCCUCCGCUCCACCACUCAGUUCAGAGUCAACUACCUGUGAUGUCUAUACCUCAGCCAAAUUCAAUUUCCUCUAAUUUUGAAAAUGUGCGAGCUUUCGUUAAUGUGGCAUUAAAGGUUCAGUGUGUGAUUCUGAGCCACCUGAUCCAACGAAAUAAGGGAGCAGUGUUUCACCUAUAAAUGUGGUCUAUACAAUCUCUAAUGUUUAUAUUUUAGUUGUAGUAGUUUGGCCUAUUUAUUGUAUACUAAUACAUUCUUUAUAUUUUACAAUGCAUUUACUCCUGUGUAAUGCCUGUCAGUCAGUCAGCAGGGCAAGAAUACCAACAUUCGACCAAACUGCUGAAACUCAGAGAGCCAGUCAGAAAACACAGCUGUCUUAUAAUCUUCACAUGGAGCUGAUCCAUCUGUGUCUACAGGGGCACUAGUGUUAACCGAGGGCUGUAGUCUGUAAUGUUACAUUAGUUUGUUUAUUGGACUAAAUCCAAAGCGUCAGAAACUAGAAAACGACCUGCAUAUUAUUCGUCUCGUCUUCCUGGUGAAAAACGUGCCUGCAUUAUUUACAAUAAUUUCCUACCUCACUUCAUGAGCAACACUCCAAGACCUUAUUCUUUUUCUCAUUAGUAUUGAGUGAAUAGCUCUUUUAGUGCCUGCAGUUCUGUCAUGGAUACAUCCUUUAUUGCAGACCGGCUUGACUGUGAAUAUUUUCAGGGAAGACACAAACAUAAAGUAGCCUUAUAGCUGCCAAGCUCUCCAUAUCUAAAAGUGUUAAAGUGCUCAUUUUACUUGAGUUAUUCUCACAUAUGCUUGGCCUUCUGCAUGGAAUUCAGCUUGCAUCUUAAAUUAUUUGAUACUUGUAUGAGUUGAGAAUUAACUUCAAAUGAGCGAUAGAGGUUAACUCACAUGGAUAUAUAUACUAGCUACUGUAUUUCAUUUGCUCAGGCGUGACACACACAUUUAUAUAUUUCCAUGUGUUGAAAAUAUAUUAUGAUUGUUUGAUAACUAUGAGUAUCUCAAGCACCAGUUGCCUUUUUCUUAAUGGCAUAAAAACACCUCUGCACUGCAAUUAUGUCAACAUUGUACCGUGAGUGCAUUACUUCAAAAAUGUAUAUAAAUCAAUACAUUUGGGACCUUUACACAAACAAUAAACUUGACAACAUCUUCAAUGUGCGUCUUUCUGCAUGUCUACAUUUUAUCUCUGGAUAUGUAACUAUUAUUUAUGAGAUAGUUGUAAAUAUUUUAACUGCAUGUCAUAGUUUAUAAUGUUUAAAUAUGUAUAUAGUAUGUGUAAAUAUGGUUUUGUUUAUGCUUUAACUGGAGCCGAGUUAUGAUAGAAGCAUGUUUGUCUAAACAAGUAAAUAUCUUGUGUUUGUAUCGUUGUGUAUUUGUACUUUGUGUCAGGUUCAUAAAAUCUUAUAACACCCAACUAUAUGGUUUGUAGUUUUUCCACUGUCUUCAUGACGUCAUAUACAACUUGAUUUAUGGUAGGU
rnacentral:lncRNA from 1 species